rnacentral:rRNA from 1 species
UACGGAGGGUGCGAGCGUUGUCCGGAUUUAUUGGGUUUUAAAGGGUGCGUAGGUGGCUUUUUAAGUCAGUGGUGAAAUACAGCCGCUCAACGGUUGAGGUGCCAUUGAUACUGAUUGGCUUGAAAUAAUUGGAGGCUGCCGGAAUGGAUGGUGUAGCGGUGAAAUGCAUAGAUAUCAUCCAGAACACCAAUUGCGAAGGCAGGUGGCUACGAUUGGUUUGACACUGAGGCACGAAAGCAUGGGGAGCAAACAGGG